CCCUUCCAGAUUCCUUUUCCCUCAAACCUAAAUAUUGACCUGAGUGGCUUAAAAAAGGAGGAAACGUAAAACGGACAUGGACUAGGAGCCUUUAGUAACAAGCCAGUCCGUUUCAAACAAAC
rnacentral:snoRNA from 1 species